rnacentral:rRNA from 2 species
UCCUGGCGACUAUAGCGAUUUGGAACCACCUGAUACCAUCUCGAACUCAGAAGUGAAACAUUUCCGCGCCAAUGAUAGUGUGAGGCUUCCUCAUGCGAAAGUAGGUCAUCGCCAGGGUUUUAUUCC